rnacentral:rRNA from 1 species
GACGAACGCUGGCGGCGUGCCUAAUACAUGCAAGUAGAACGCUGAAAGAGGAGCUUGCUUCUCUGGAUGAGUUGCGAACGGGUGAGUAACGCGUAGGUAACCUGCCUGGUAGCGGGGGAUAACUAUUGGAAACGAUAGCUAAUACCGCAUAAGAGUAGAUGUCGCAUGACAUUUGCUUAAAAGGUGCAAUUGCAUCACUACCAGAUGGACCUGCGUUGUAUUAGCUAGUUGGUGAGGUAACGGCUCACCAAGGCAACGAUACAUAGCCGACCUGAGAGGGUGAUCGGCCACACUGGGACUGAGACACGGCCCAGACUCCUACGGGAGGCAGCAGUAGGGAAUCUUCGGCAAUGGACGGAAGUCUGACCGAGCAACGCCGCGUGAGUGAAGAAGGUUUUCGGAUCGUAAAGCUCUGUUGUAAGAGAAGAACGAGUGUGAGAGUGGAAAGUUCACACUGUGACGGUAUCUUACCAGAAAGGGACGGCUAACUACGUG